rnacentral:rRNA from 1 species
UACGAAGGGGGCUAGCGUUGCUCGGAAUGACUGGGCGUAAAGGGCGCGUAGGCGGCUCAUACAGUCAGAUGUGAAAUUCCUGGGCUUAACCUGGGGGCUGCAUUUGAUACGUGUGGGCUUGAGUGGGGAAGAGGGUCGUGGAAUUCCCAGUGUAGAGGUGAAAUUCGUAGAUAUUGGGAAGAACACCGGUGGCGAAGGCGGCGACCUGGUCCUUGACUGACGCUGAGGCGCGAAAGCGUGGGGAUCAAACAGG